CUUGUACACACCGCCCGUCACACCAUGGGAGUUGGUUUUACCUGCAGACGGUGCGCUAACCCGCAAGGGAGGCAGCCGGCCACGGUAGGGUCAGCGACUGGGGUGAAGUCGUAACAAGGUAGCCGUAGGGGAACCUGCGGCUGGAUCACCUCCUUU
rnacentral:rRNA from 1 species